CCUACGGGAGGCAGCAGUGGGGAAUUUUGGACAAUGGGGGCAACCCUGAUCCAGCCAUGCCGCGUGAGUGAAGAAGGCCUUCGGGUUGUAAAGCUCUUUCGGACGGAAAGAAAACGGAUGGGUUAAUACCCUGUUCGGAUGACGGUACCGUCAUAAGAAGCACCGGCUAACUACGUGCCAGCAGCCGCGGUAAU
rnacentral:rRNA from 1 species